GAGGGUAUAGCUCAGUAGUAGGGUGCAUGCUUAGCAUGCAUGAGGUCCUGAGUUCAAUCUCCAGAACCUCCA
rnacentral:tRNA from 1 species